rnacentral:rRNA from 1 species
UACGUAGGGUGCGAGCGUUAAUCGGAAUUACUGGGCGUAAAGCGCGUGUAGGCGGCCUAGUGUGUCGGGCGUGAAAUCCCACGGCUCAACCGUGGAAGUGCACUCGAAACUGCAAGGCUGGAGUACUGGAGAGGAUGGUAGAAUGCUCGGUGUAGAGGUGAAAUUCGUAGAUAUCGAGCGGAAUACCGGUGGCGAAGGCGGCCAUCUGGACAGUCACUGACGCUGAGACGCGAAAGCGUGGGGAGCAAACAGG